AAUAUUGCACAAUGGGCGCAAGCCUGAUGCAGCCAUGCCGCGUGUAUGAAGAAGGACCUUCGGGUUGUAAAGUACUUUCAGCAGUGAGGAAGGUGGGUAUGUUAAUAGCAUAUUCAUUUGACGUUAGCUGCAGAAGAAAGCACCGGCUAACUCCGUGCCAGCAGCCGCGGUAAUACGGAGGGUGCGAGCGUUAAUCGGAAUUACUGGGCGUAAAGCGCAUGCAGGUGGUUUGUUAAGUCAGAUGUGAAAGCCCGGGGCUCAACCUCGGAAUUGCAUUUGAAACUGGCAAACUAGAGUACUGUAGAGGGGGGUAGGAACCCCCCCCCCUUUNAGGUGUAGCGGUGAAAUGCGUAGAGAUCUGAAGGAAUACCGGUGGCGAAGGCGGCCCCCUGGACAGAUACUGACACUCAGAUGCGAAAGCGUGGGGAGCAAACAGGAUUAGAUACCCUGGUAG
rnacentral:rRNA from 1 species